GUCUUGUAGGAAGCUGAGAAAUCUGGCUCGGCCUCCAAGAUACAGUUUUCCUACAAACAAGUUGGUUUGUGUACCAAGGGCCUAAGGCCAUUGCACAAACUUCAGAGGAACAAAUACGUGGCUGGUUGGUCACUGGUUCCUCCCUUUCCUUUGAGCCCCACCUCUAAAACAAACUUCGUCUCAUCUUCCUAGUGUCCCGCUUUCUACGCCAGUGAUUUCUCGCUACACCUGUCUUUGUGUGUUGCUGCUAGAAGCUUCAGAGGAACAAGGACUCCAAAAACACAUGAGAGAUCUCCACAAACACUAGAGACUCACCGACUGGAGUGAAUUCCCUCAGUGAAAUCACUCUCCUGUGCCAAGAAUCAAAGGUCACCCCAGCGGAGUGCCGUCUUCAUGUUCGGCUGCUACGGAGUGUCUGGAACAGAGUUAAUGCCCAUGCCACACUGGCUGGCAGCAUCAUCCAUUUCUCACGUGAAGUGAGGAGCAGGGAGGAGUCAUGCAG